GAGACAGGUGGUGCAUGGUUGUCGUCAGCUCGUGUCGUGAGAUGUUGGUUAAGUCCCGCAACGAGCGCAACCCUUGUGUUUAGUUGCAAACAGGUCAAGCUGUGCACUCUAGACAGACUGCCGUGGACAACACGGAGGAAGGUGGGGAUGACGUCAAAUCAUCAUGCCCCUUAUGAUCUGGGCUACACACGUGCUACAAUGGCCGGUACAACGGGCAGCGAAGGAGCGAUCCGGAGCGAAUCCUAAAAAGCCGGUCCCAGUUCGGAUUGCAGGCUGAAACUCGCCUACAUGAAGUUGGAGUUGCUAGUAAUCGCGAAUCAGAAUGUCGCGGUGAAUGCGUUCCCGGGCCUU
rnacentral:rRNA from 1 species